UCCGGAGGGUGCAAGCGUUAUCCGGAUUCACUGGGUUUAAAGGGUGCGUAGGCGGGUUGGUAAGUCCGUGGUGAAAUCUCCAAGCUUAACUUGGAAACUGCCGUGGAUACUAUCAAUCUUGAAUAUCGUGGAGGUAAGCGGAAUAUGUCAUGUAGCGGUGAAAUGCUUAGAUAUGACAUAGAACACCAAUUGCGUAGGCAGCUUACUACACGAUCAUUGACGCUGAGGCACGAAAGCGUGGGGAGCAAACAGG
rnacentral:rRNA from 1 species